GAUGAACGCUGGCGGCGUGCCUAAUACAUGCAAGUCGAGCGAACGGACGAGAAGCUUGCUUCUCUGAUGUUAGCGGCGGACGGGUGAGUAACACGUGGAUAACCUACCUAUAAGACUGGGAUAACUUCGGGAAACCGGAGCUAAUACGGGAUGAUAUUUUGAACCGCAUGGUUCAAAAGUGAAAGACGGUCUUGCUGUCACUUAUAGAUGGAUCCGCGCUGCAUUAGCUAGUUGGUAAGGUAACGGCUUACCAAGGCAACGAUGCAUAGCCGACCUGAGAGGGUGAUCGGCCACACUGGAACUGAGACACGGUCCAGACUCCUACGGGAGGCAGCAGUAGGGAAUCUUCCGCAAUGGGCGAAAGCCUGACGGAGCAACGCCGCGUGAGUGAUGAAGGUCUUCGGAUCGUAAAACUCUGUUAUUAGGGAAGAACAUAUGUGUAAGUAACUGUGCACAUCUUGACGGUACCUAAUCAGAAAGCCACGGCUAACUACGUG
rnacentral:rRNA from 1 species